GCAGGCUUAUACAUGCAAGUCGAGCGAAGACUUCGGUCUUAGCGGCGGACGGGUGAGUAACACGUGGGAACAUGCCCUUCACUGCGGAAUAGUCCCGGGAAACUGGGUUUAAUACCGCAUACGCCCUUCGGGGGAAAGAUUUAUCGGUGAAGGAUUGGCCCGCGUCUGAUUAGAUAGUCGGUGGGGUAACGGCCUACCAAGUCGACGAUCAGUAGCUGGUUUGAGAGGAUGAUCAGCCACACUGGGACUGAGACACGGCCCAGACUCCUACGGGAGGCAG
rnacentral:rRNA from 1 species